rnacentral:rRNA from 1 species
GAUGAACGCUGGCGGCGUGCCUAAUACAUGCAAGUCGAGCGAACGGACGAGAAGCUUGCUUCUCUGAUGUUAGCGGCGGACGGGUGAGUAACACGUGGAUAACCUACCUAUAAGACUGGGAUAACUUCGGGAAACCGGAGCUAAUAUCGGAUAAUAUUUUGAACCGCAUGGUUCAAAAGUGAAAGACGGUCUUGCUGUCACUUAUAGAUGGAUCCGCGCUGCAUUAGCUAGUUGGUAAGGUAACGGCUUACCAAGGCAACGAUGCAUAGCCGACCUGAGAGGGUGAUCGGCCACACUGGAACUGAGACACGGUCCAGACUCCUACGGGAGGCAGCAGUAGGGAAUCUUCCGCAAUGGGCGAAAGCCUGACGGAGCAACGCCGCGUGAGUGAUGAAGGUCUUCGGAUCGUAAAACUCUGUUAUUAGGGAAGAACAUAUGUGUAAGUAACUGUGCACAUCUUGACGGUACCUAAUCAGAAAGCCACGGCUAACUACGUGCCAGCAGCCGCGGUAAUACGUAGGUGGCAAGCGUUAUCCGGAAUUAUUGGGCGUAAAGCGCGCGUAGGCGGUUUUUUAAGUCUGAUGUGAAAGCCCACGGCUCAACCGUGGAGGGUCAUUGGAAACUGGAAAACUUGAGUGCAGAAGAGGAAAGUGGAAUUCCAUGUGUAGCGGUGAAAUGCGCAGAGAUAUGGAGGAACACCAGUGGCGAAGGCGACUUUCUGGUCUGUAACUGACGCUGAUGUGCGAAAGCGUGGGGAUCAAACAGG